AUACGGAGGGUGCAAGCGUUAUCCGGAUUCAUUGGGUUUAAAGGGUGCGCAGGCGGAAUGAUAAGUCAGUGGUGAAAUCCUACAGCUUAACUGUAGAACUGCCAUUGAUACUGUCAUUCUUGAGUACACUUGAAGUGGGCGGAAUGUAUCAUGUAGCGGUGAAAUGCAUAGAUAUGAUACAGAACUCCGAUAGCGAAGGCAGCUCACUAAAUUGUAACUGACGCUCAGGCACGAAAGCGUGGGGAGCAAACAGGAUUAGAAACCCUGGUAGUCC
rnacentral:rRNA from 1 species